rnacentral:rRNA from 1 species
GUGGGGAAUAUUGGACAAUGGGCGCAAGCCUGAUCCAGCAAUGCCGCGUGCAGGAAGAAGGCCUUCGGGUUGUAAACUGCUUUUGUACGGAACGAAAAGGCUCUGGUUAAUACCUGGGGCUCAUGACGGUACCGUAAGAAUAAGCACCGGCUAACUACGUGCCAGCAGCCGCGGUAAUACGUAGGGUGCAAGCGUUAAUCGGAAUUACUGGGCGUAAAGCGUGCGCAGGCGGUUUUGUAAGACAGACGUGAAAUCCCCGGGCUCAACCUGGGAAUGGCGUUUGUGACUGCAAAGCUGGAGUGCGGCAGAGGGGGAUGGAAUUCCGCGUGUAGCAGUGAAAUGCGUAGAUAUGCGGAGGAACACCGAUGGCGAAGGCAAUCCCCUGGGCCUGCACUGACGCUCAUGCACGAAAGCGUGGGGAGCAAACAGGAUUAGAUACCCUUGUAGUCC